CUUCUGCUAUCUGAAGGUCAGAGGAGCAACAACUCAUUGUCACAGCAUGGCCUGGGUUGCAAAGAAGCACAGUGCUCAUCCAGUUCCAACCCCCUGCUGUGUGCAGGUCGCCAACCAGCAGCCCAGGCUGCCCAGAGCCACAUCCAGCCUGGCCUUGAAUGCCUGCAGGGAUGGGGCAUCCACAGCCUCCUUGGGCAACCUGUUCCAGUGCCUCACCACCCUGUGUGUGGAAAAACUUCCUCCUAACAUCCAACCUCAACUUCCCCUGUCUCAGUUUAAAGCCAUUCCCCCUUGUCCUAUCACUGUCCACCCUCACAAACAGCUGUUCCCCUUCCUGUUUCUACACUCCCUUCAAGUAUUGGAAGGCCACAGUGAGGCCUCCUCAAAGCCUUCUUCCAUACAGCUUGUUAUAAGAACACAACUCCACUAAUAAACGUGGAGCUUAUGCAGAUGAAAACCAUAUGCAUUGUGCUAACUGCCUUUUUACUUGUGUAUCUCCAGGUGUCAGCACGCCAGCACUGUUUCCUAGUACCUGGCACUUAUCCAUGCAGGUGAGCUUGGCGUAACUACGGCUGCAGUUUCUCACAGCCAGUUGUGAGUGUGGCCCUUUAGAUGUGCUAUCCAAAAUAAGCGCUGUUAGAAGUGUGAUGGCUUCUAAAUGUGUAAGCAUUUCUGCAGGUGCCCUGCUCUUGUUGUUUAGCAAGUCUGUUCAACUGUAGGCCAAAGUUCCCUUUUGCAACCAAAAUCUAGGAAUGAACCUUGUCAGCAUGAAUGGCAGAUCAGGUGCUGGAACAGCUGCCCAGAGAGGCUGUGAUGCCCCGUCCAUCCCUGGAGGUGUUCAAGGCCAGGUUGGAUGGGGCCCUGGGCAGCCUGGGCUGCUGUGAAAUGGGGAGGUUGGUGGCCCUGCGUGUGGAGGGGGGUUGGAGAUUCAUGAUCCUUGAGGUCCCUUCCAACCCAACCAUUCUGUGAUU